rnacentral:rRNA from 1 species
GCCGCGCGAACGCGUACCCCCUCUACCACAAAUUACGACGUCCACUCUCCCACUUGGGGAGAUGGUAGGCCAGCGCAUCCACCAAGUGCAAUGUGGACCACUAGCCUAGGCCACGACUCUUCUUGA